CUGCUUGGUUUAUUUCAAAAAAAAAGUGAAAGAGAAACAGAAGUGGAAAGAACAUGACAGCUAGGAAGGGGAAGAAAUCGGCAGCUCUCCUGCCUAGUUCAUUUCGAAAAAAAUAAAUAGUGGAAGAGAAACCGAAGUGGAAAGAACAUGACAGCUAGGAAGGGGAAGAAUAAUUAAACCCAGCGACUACUCCUUAAUUUCUCCCAAAACUCAGUUUCAAGGCAUUUGUAGCGUUGCAUAUAUAGUCAUCAUAACUCAGUCUCGUCAACGUGAAUUGGCUAGUGCAGCACAUAGCGUGAAUCGAUACGCCAACUAAAAAGAUUGUUGAAUCGAGAAAAUAACACAAGGUAGGGAAGAAAAAAAUUAUAUGCCUAUAAUUUCCUUGGUAAGAAAAAAAGAAAUAUAUGACAUGCCACCUAGGGAAAGGGAAAAGGGAAAAGCAUGCUGCUUGGGACGGGGAAAAAUAAACCCAAUGACUAGAAUCUAGUUUCUAGCAAAAAAAAAUAUGUUUCAAAUUGAAGCAUUUAUAGAGCU
rnacentral:lncRNA from 1 species